rnacentral:rRNA from 1 species
GACGAACGCUGGCGGCGUGCCUAAUACAUGCAAGUCGAGCGCAGGAAAUCGACGGAACCCUUCGGGGGGAAGUCGACGGAAUGAGCGGCGGACGGGCGAGUAACACGUAAAGAACCUGCCCUCAGGUCUGGGAUAACCACGAGAAAUCGGGGCUAAUACCGGAUGGGUCAUCGGACCGCAUGGUCCGAGGAUGAAAGGCGCUUCGGCGUCGCCUGGGGAUGGCUUUGCGGUGCAUUAGCUAGUUGGUGGGGUAAUGGCCAACCAAGGCGACGAUGCAUCGCCGACAGGAGAGGGUGAUCGGCCACACUGGGACUGAGACACGGCCCAGACUCCUACGGGAGGCAGCAGUAGGGAAUCUUCCACAAUGGACGAAAGUCUGAUGGAGCAACGCCGCGUGAACGAUGAAGGCCUUCGGGUCGUAAAGUUCUGUUGUAAGGGAAGAACAAGUGCCGCAGGCAAUGGCGGCACCUUGACGGUACCUUGCGAGAAAGCCACGGCUAACUACGUGCCAGCCGCCGCCGUAA